rnacentral:rRNA from 1 species
CCCUAGUAACUGCGAGUGAAGCGGGAAAAGCUCAAAUUUGUAAUCUGGCGGGCUCCGCCCGUCCGAGUUGUAAUCUAGAGAAGCGUUAUCCGCGCUGGACCGUGUAUAAGUCUCCUGGAACGGAGCGUCAUAGAGGGUGAGAAUCCCGUCUUUGACACGGACUACCAGGGCUUUGUGAUGCGCUCUCAAAGAGUCGCGUUGUUUGGGAAUGCAGCGCUAAAUGGGUGGUAAAUUCCAUCUAAAGCUAAAUAUUGGCGAGAGACCGAUAGCGAACAAGUACCGUGAGGGAAAGAUGAAAAGAACUUUGGAAAGAGAGUGAAACAGUACGUGAAAUUGCUGAAAGGGAAACGCUUGAGGUCAGUCGCGUCGGCCGGGGAUCAGCCUUGCUCUUUUGCUUGGUGUACUUCCCGGCCGACGGGCCAGCAUCAGUUUCAUCUGGCGGAAAAAGGCCAGGGGAAUGUGGCACCUUCGGGUGUGUUAUAGCCCCUGGUCAUAUACGUCGGAUGGGACUGAGGAACUCAGCACGCCGCAAGGCCGGGUCUUUGACCACGUACGUGCUUAGGAUGCUGGCAUAAUGGCCUUAAGCGACCCGUCUUGAAACACGGACCAAGGAGUCUAACAUGCCCGCGAGUGUUUGGGUGGAAAACCCAUGCGCGAAAUGAAAGUAAAAGUCGAGAUCCCUGUCGUGGGGAGCAUCGACGCCCGGACCAGACGUUUUCUGACGGUACCGCGGUGGAGCGUGUAUGUUGGGACCCGAAAGAUGGUGAACUAUGCCUGAAUAGGGUGAAGCCAGAGGAAACUCUGGUGGAGGCUCGUAGCGAUUCUGACGUGCAAAUCGAUCGUCGAAUUUGGGUAUAG